rnacentral:rRNA from 1 species
AGGACGAACGCUGGCGGCGUGCCUAACACAUGCAAGUCGAACGAGGUCCAUGUAGUGGCAACACUACGGAAGGCCUAGUGGCGAACGGGUGAGUAACACGUGAGGAACUUGCCCCGGAGACCGGGAUAACUCUUCGAAAGGGGAGCUAAUACCGGAUGUUCUCACCGAGUCGCAUGGCUUGGUGAGGAAAUGGAUUCCGCUCCGGGAGAGCCUCGCGGCCUAUCAGCUAGUUGGAGGGUAACGGCCCACCAAGGCAUCGACGGGUAGCUGGUCUGAGAGGACGAUCAGCCACACUGGGACUGAGACACGGCCCAGACUCCUACGGGAGCAGCAGUGGGGAAUCUGCGCAAGUGGGACGAAAGCCUGACGCAGCAACGCCGCGUGGCGGGAU